CACCGGCGAACGGGUGCGGAACACGUGAGCGACCUGCCCUGGGAUGGGGGAUAGCCGGCCCAACGGCCGGGUAAUACCGCAUACGGCCUGCCGCAUUGGGCGGUGAGGCGAAACCUGUGGCAACACAGGGUCCGAGGAGGGGCUCGCGGCCUAUCAGCUAGUUGGGGGGGUAACGGCUUCCCAAGGCGAUGACGGGUAGCUGGUCUGAGAGGAUGGCCAGCCACAUUGGGACUGAGAGACGGCCCAGACUCCUACGGGAGGCAGCAGUGGGGAAUCUUGCGCAAUGGGCGGAAGCCUGACGCAGCGACGCCGCGUGGGGGAGGAAGGCCUUCGGGUUGUAAACCCCUUUGGCCCGGGACGAAGCCGCACUAUGGAGUGCGCUGACGGUACCGGGAGAACAAGCACCGGCUAACUCUGUGCCAGCAGCCGCGGUAAUACAGAGGGUGCGAGCGUUGUCCGGAAUCACUGGGCGUAAAGGGAGCGUAGGUGGCUGAGUGCGCGUGCCGUGAAAGCCCGGGGCUUAACCCCGGGUCGGCGGUGCGAACGGCUGAGCUGGAGCAUGCGAGAGGCAGGCGGAAUUCCGGGUGUAGCGGUGGAAUGCGUAGAGAUCCGGAAGAACACCGGGGGCGAAGGCGGCCUGCUGGCGCAGUAGCUGACACUGAGGCGCGACAGCGUGGGGAGCAAACAGGAUUAGAUACCCUGUUAGUCCACGCCGUAAACGAUGGGCACUAGGUGCUUGGGGGAGCGACCCCUCGGGUGCCGGCGCUAACGCAUUAAGUGCCCCGCCUGGGGAGUACGGCCGCAAGGCUGAAACUCAAAGGAAUUGACGGGGGCCCGCACAAGCG
rnacentral:rRNA from 1 species